UUGGGAAUAUUGGACAAUGGAGGAAACUCUGAUCCAGUGACGCCGCGUGAAGGAAGAAGGUCUUCGGAUUGUAAACUUAUUUUGUCAGGGAAGAAACAAAUGACUGUACCUGAAGAAAAAGCACCGGCUAACUACGUGCCAGCAGCCGCGGUAAUACGUAGGGUGCAAGCGUUAUCCGGAUUUACUGGGUGUAAAGGGCGAGUAGACGGCGUUGCAAGUCAGAUGUGAAAACCUAGGGCUUAACCUUAGGACUGCAUCUGAAACUGUAAUGCUAGAGUGCAGGAGAGGUAAGCGGAAUUCCUAGUGUAGCGGUGAAAUGCGUAGAUAUUAGGAAGAACACCAGUGGCGAAGGCGGCUUACUGGACUGUAACUGACGUUGAGGCGCGAAAGCGUGGGGAGCAAACAGGAUUAGAUACC
rnacentral:rRNA from 1 species